rnacentral:rRNA from 1 species
UAGGGAAUCUUCGGCAAUGGACGAAAGUCUGACCGAGCAACGCCGCGUGAGUGAAGAAGGUUUUCGGAUCGUAAAACUCUGUUGUUAGAGAAGAACAAGGACCUUAGUAACUGAACGUCCCCUGACGGUAUCUAACCAGAAAGCCACGGCUAACUACGUGCCAGCAGCCGCGGUAAUACGUAGGUGGCAAGCGUUGUCCGGAUUUAUUGGGCGUAAAGCGAGCGCAGGCGGUUUCUUAAGUCUGAUGUGAAAGCCCCCGGCUCAACCGGGGAGGGUCAUUGGAAACUGGGAGACUUGAGUGCAGAAGAGGAGAGUGGAAUUCCAUGUGUAGCGGUGAAAUGCGUAGAUAUAUGGAGGAACACCAGUGGCGAAGGCGGCUCUCUGGUCUGUAACUGACGCUGAGGCUCGAAAGCGUGGGGAGCAAACAGG